rnacentral:rRNA from 1 species
UACAGAGGGUGCAAGCGUUAAUCGGAAUUACUGGGCGUAAAGCGUGCGUAGUCGGUUAUGUAAGUCAGAUGUGAAAGCCCCGGGCUUAACCUGGGAAUGGCAUUUGAGACUGCAUAGCUAGGGUGCGGAAGAGGGAAGCGGAAUUUCCGGUGUAGCGGUGAAAUGCGUAGAUAUCGGAAGGAACACCAGUGGCGAAAGCGGCUUCCUGGUCCAGCACCGACGUUCAGGCACGAAAGCGUGGGGAGCAAACAGG